GAGGGAGAGAGGGAUGAACCGAGAAAGAGCGGUUUCAGAUAGCAUAUCCCUCAUACACUAGACAGCAUCUCUCCAAAAUCCACACUCAUACACACACUCGCAGUGAAGGAGGAGAGAGAGAGAGAAGAAAGGAAGGAAGGAAGGAAGGGAACACUCUGAAAUUCAUCCUUCAGCAGCAGCAGCAGCAGCUAACUCACAGCCUUCAGAUGGGGCCCGGAUUGUUCUGGAACUUUCCCUCCAAGACUAGCUGCACGGUUUCGCAGACCCUGCUGCAGACAAUGUUGCUCUCCAGGAUGGCUGGCAUGAAGGAGCAGCAGUUUAUUGAGGAAAAGCCAUUACUUCCUGAGACAAGAGGACAAGACACGGAGAUGAGGCAGGCGAAAGGAACGAGUGUAAAUGCACCCUGUGCUCAACCCCGCCCCCACUCAGCACGCCACUCCCACAGGUGGCACGAGAUGGCCCGCCACUGGCUCGGUGUGACCCGGCAUCGGCGUCGGACCAGCGGGUUCAUGAUGGUAACUAAUGCACAGAUCACGCCCUUUUUCUCCUGCAGCAGAGUGAUAAUGAUGUCAGACCAGACUAAUCUUAGUGACAUUAUGAUUCUUCACAGGAUAGAACAGAGUAAAUUAAUUUAUUCAGCAGCGUUUUUCUGUUACUUCUCCUAUUACAGAAUAUUUGCACUCUAAGGCAAACGGAUUACAAAGCACAUUAUGCCACACUAGUAAGGAACAGGGGUGCAGCCAUGCUUUCCUUCUAAUUCAGCAGGUCUUGCCUAAUACUCAACUCUGAAUGGCGAAAAGCUAGUGCUUAGCAUGGUUAUCAGCUAAUGCUAAUACUGCUCCAGUCUCUGUGCUGGAGAAACUUCACUGGAACUCCUGUAUAAUGCUGCACUUCAGUGGAGUGGCUUUACUGCUCCUUAAUACCUGACUUGUAAAAUUAAUAUAUACAGCACUUUUGGUUUUGGGGGAAAUUUAAGGAUUUUACGUGCACCUUAUAGUGCGAUUAUUCCAGAUCAGCUUAUCUAGACCCUUUCUAUGAUGGACCAAACAGGGCCAAAGCAACCUUUGUCUUUAUUAACCUUCGCUAAUGCUAAUUAUGCUCUUCAGAAAACAUAACUAUUCAGCAGGUGAUCUGUCAAAUACUGGAAUCUGAAUAUUCCUGUAAGAUUGCCCUCAUAGUGAGUGCUAAACCACUGCUUCAGAAAUACAUUAUCAAAGCGCACACGUCACAUUUAAUCAGGCCAAUAUCAUUAUUUAGCUAUGAAACAUAAUAGUGAAGGUCUUACUAUAGAUCAGUCUCACUUUGUAGCACUUAGUUUAUAAGCUUACAGGCAAAGAGAGGCAUAAAUCAGCUGUUGUUGACCUGGGAGUGUUUGUCUCACAGAAGCUGUUAGUGCAUUAGCAGACGACUGAUCAAAUGACUGAUCCCCUGCUGUGUCAUGAGUUUGGUUCAGGCUAAAUGCUUUGGCUCAUACUAAAUACUAAAUAAUGUCUGUUAUGGCUUGAAGUCAGCAUCACAUUUUACCUCCACGAGCAACAAAAAGUAGCACACUUUCACUUUGGCCUUCUCUUGAUCUUUUCACUGAAUGCAGUGCUACUGCAGUGUAUCUUUAACUAAUCAAAUCACUCUGCAAAUCACUUUUUGCCAGGCCAGGUUGGCUCAGCUUCCCAAAAUUGCCUUAAACAUGGCUGUUAAAGCUCUUGCUCUAUUAUCUCAUGAUGGCUCUACUGUUACAUUACAUUACAUUUUACAUUACAUUACAUUUAGCGGAUGCUUUUAUCCAAAGUGGCUUACAGUAAUUAGGUACAUUAGCAAUAGGGGACAUAAAAGUUAAAGGAAAAAGCAUUUUUGACAGGGCCUAAAGGAAGCUGAGGUAAAUCGUGGGAUAGAGGAGGAAAGGAGGGGGAGCAGUAAAUGAGGUUAGAAGUAGUUAGUUUGUUGGAGGUGUUAGGAGAGUAGGUGUUCUUUGAAGAGCUCUGUCUUCAGGAGUUUAUUAUUAAAGAUAGCGAGAGAUUCUCCUGAUCUGGUAGUAGAAGGUAGUUAGUUAGAGGUGUUAGGAGAGUAUGUGCACACAUUUAAACUGUAUGUGAUCAAUUACACAGAUUAUUAACAGUAAAUUAACAGUCAAUUAUAAAGUGCAAAAAUGCAUAAGGAAAUCUAUUAGAGAUACUAAAUAGUAAAGAACCAUGCUAAUUUGUUAGCACCAUGCUAAUUUGUAGGGCAAAACAAACAAUUCAGUUAGCAAGUUGAAAGAAAUGCCUUACCUGAUUGGCUACUGAGAGAGUUAGUUUCUUUACAGGACUAAUCAGCUAAUUCCGUUUCUGAUAUCAGUAUUGCUCUGCAGUCUUGGGUGUGACCUGUGUGUGUAAAAGUGUGCUAAAUGUUACCAUAUGCCUUCUAUCAGAGUGUCUACUUCUCAGUUUACUGCUGGUUUUGCUGCUUGGCUCUCUGUCUCCUGAGGGGAAAUUGUCAACAAGUGAAGAUAAGUGAAAGGUUUCAUUCCAAAAUGUAUUAUGCCAUGAAUAAAAGGAUCAGAUUAUCGUGAAAUAAUCA
ensembl:lncRNA